rnacentral:tRNA from 1 species
UUAAAGAUAAGCUAAAUAAAGCUAAUGAGUUCAUACCUCAUUUAUAAAGGUCAAUCCUUUUUUUUAAA